GACGAACGCUGGCGGCGUGCCUAAUACAUGCAAGUUGAGCGCUGAAGGUUGGUACUUGUACCAACUGGAUGAGCAGCGAACGGGUGAGUAACGCGUGGGGAAUCUGCCUUUGAGCGGGGGACAACAUUUGGAAACGAAUGCUAAUACCGCAUAAAAACUUUAAACACAAGUUUUAAGUUUGAAAGAUGCAAUUGCAUCACUCAAAGAUGAUCCCGCGUUGUAUUAGCUAGUUGGUGAGGUAAAGGCUCACCAAGGCGAUGAUACAUAGCCGACCUGAGAGGGUGAUCGGCCACAUUGGGACUGAGACACGGCCCCAACUCCUACGGGAGGCAGCAGUAGGGAAUCUUCGGCAAUGGACGAAAGUCUGACCGAGCAACGCCGCGUGAGUGAAGAAGGUUUUCGGAUCGUAAAACUCUGUUGGUAGAGAAGAACGUUGGUGAGAGUGGAAAGCCCAUCAAGUGACGGUAACUACCCAGAAAGGGACGGCUAACUACGUG
rnacentral:rRNA from 1 species